UGUGCAUGUCUCUCUCUCUCCCAAAGUAUCUUCCUGUUUGUAAUAUUUUCAGGCAGCAUUGGACUGUGGCUAACUGAAACCAAGAGAAGUUAAACCCCAGGGGAUGACCACACCUGAUGAGUUACACAUUUGACCACGAGUGAAGACUCCAAUGCACUUUCUCAUGAUGAUCCUUCCUGCUGGUGGUCCCCUAGUGAAGCAAUCUGAAAUGGACCCAGAACACAGUUUGGGACAACAGACACCGUCGCUGUCUCUAUUCUCCUGUCCAGCUAAUGACAUAUGGAUCUAGAUGGCAUAUGGAUCUGACCGCUGCUGGCUGUAUGACCUCAAGACAGCAAUAUCCCCCCGUCUGCCUUUGAUUUCUCAUCUUUAAAAUGAAUCUAUAACAGUAUUUUUUCAUGUAAUGAUGGCAAUGAAAAUCCCUACAGUGAGUUACACAUUUGAACACGAGUGGAGACUCCAAUGCACCUUCUGGCGAUGAUCCUUCCUGCCGGUGCUCCUGCCAAUGUCUGGUUCUAGAAGAACCCCUUUGCUGGGGAGACAUUACUAUAGAAGCUUUUAAAAAAAUGUGCUAGGUAUAUUGGCUACUGCAGAGUUGUCAUUAGGCUCUGGGGUUUAGUGCU
rnacentral:lncRNA from 13 species